UAUAGUCACUCUAUUGUAUCAAAUACAUUAUUUUUAAUGGCUGCAUAAUAUUUUCCCGUUCCCUUCUUGAAACAUUUUCUUCUUGGCUGCUGGGACAUUUCCCUCUUGCUUCUCCUCCUUAGAAUCUUUUAAGUCUCUUUUGCAGAACCUCUUCAUCUCUCCCCAGUCUCUAACAGCAGGAGCUGCCCCAGAACUCAGUCCUAAAGCCUCAGACCUCUCCUCUUCCUUCUCCAUCUGCAUUCACUUGCCAGGAGUGCCCAUCAAGCGUCAUAGCCUCAAAUACCAUCCAUCCCUGUCAACUCCCAGAUUCUAUUUCCAGCCUGAACUUUCCCCUGAAUACUGCCUAUUUGACAUCUCCACUGAGAUGGCUAAUGACAUACUAAACUUACUGUGUCUUAAGCUAAACUUCUAAUGAACCUGUACUCCAGGUUCCCCUUUUCAGCAAAUGGCAGCUCCAUCCUUGACCUCAAACCUCCAGGCCUCAAACCUCAUCUGAGGUCUUCUCCGACUCUUUUCUCUUACAUCACACAGCCAGUCCUUUAUAAAAUGUGCCAGUCUUGCCCUUUGAGUAGUUCCAGAAUCAGAUGGAAUUCCUAUCUAACCUCACCUUCCCUGCAGCCACACUGGCCCAAGCCAUCUACAUCUCUUGGUUGGAUGAUUUCAGGAGCCCCCUGAUGGGUCUUCGUCCAGAUUCCAUCCUGGUCCCGUGACAGUUUAUACUCAACAGAGUAACCAGAUAAUGUUACGGAUCUGCUCAAACCCUCAAAGGCAUUGCAAUGUCACUGCUAGUAAGGGCUUCUAUCUCCCACUGCUGCCUCUAUCCCACACCCCUCUGGCCCUUAUCCACUCUGCUCCAGGCAUGCAGGUAUCCAGCUUCUUCUCCCUUUGGAAUUUUGCUUUGCUGCAUCCUGAUCUGUUAUGUUCUCUCCCCAUAUGCCUGCCUGUCAUGUUCCCUCCUUGCUUCAGGUUCCUGUUCAAACACCAUCUUACCUGUGAAACUCUCUUUUCAUAGUCUUUAUAAAGAGCAAUCUCUCUACCUAAUACUCCUUUAUCUGCAAUCUUACCUAUUUUAACUAUUCUGCAUCUUGCUUUUUCUAUGUGGCAUUUAUAUUUGUUUCCUAGGGCUGCCGUAACCAAGUACCACAAACCAGGUGGUCUGAAAGGAGAGAAAUUUAUUUUCACUCUGUUGUGGAUGUUAAAAGUCUGGAAUUGAAAUGUCAGUAGGGUUGGUUCCUUCUCAGGGCACAGAGGGAGACUGUGUUCCACGCCUGUCUCCUAGCUUCUUAUAAAUGGCUGGCAAAUCUUGGCAUUCCAUGGCUGUGGAUGUAUCGUUCCAGUCUCUGCCUCCAUCUUCACAUGGUCGUCUUCCCUCUGUGUCUCUCUCUUCUUAUAAGAGCACCAGCCAUAUUGAAGUAAGAGCCUAUUCUACUCCAGUAUGACCAGUUUAAUGUAACUAGUUACACCUGCAAUGAUCGUAUUUGCAAAUAAGUUUACAUUCUGAUCCUGGGGGUUGGACUUCAACAUAUCUUAUUUGGGGGACCCAUUCAACCUAUGACAGCAUACAAAGUAUUUACUGGUUGAUUUCAUUAGUACCUGUCUUUACCCAUAAAAACAUAAGCUAUUUCUGUUCACUGAUGUAUUCUCCAUGACUAGAAUAAUAUUUGAUACAGAGUGAGCAUUCAAUAAAUACUUUUUAAAUGAAUUAGUGACUAUGGAAAUCUCAUUUUCUCAUCUUUUCUAAAUACCUUGCUAAUGUAAAUACUAGCAUAGUGUAAAUACUCGUGUAAAGUAAUGUAAAUACUGGUACAGUGUAAAUACUGGUAUAAAGUUUUUAUGCGUAAUUAUUCACGUGCAUCUUGGGUUGUUUCUUUGGUAUAUGUUCCUAGAGAUAGAUUCAACUCAAUCUACUAUCCUUUAUCUUAGUGCUGGUCUAUGCUGCAUGAAUAGGUAAAUCCUAUUCAUUCAGAUGUUGCUCAAAUGGAGUUUGUGGUCAUUUGAAGGAAAGGUUGACGGGGUUCAUCUUUGCUAACUGUUUGUUAAGCAAAUUAAGGGUGGAGUCAAAGUUUUAGUGGGCAGUGACUGAAAUCCUAAAAGUUAUAUGUGGUUAUAUAAUCUUUUCUCCUAUUUAAGAAUUGGCUUGCCUUUUUCCCAAGUUUUUGCGUAACUUCAUAGUUAUGUUUAAUGUCUGGUAUUAGAAAAUCUUAUUUCAUGAUCUGUUAUUAUUGGGCAUUUAGUUUGUUUCUGAUUUGGGGGUAUUAUAAAUGAUGUUGUAAGUGUAUAUAUGUAUACACUUCCCUCAUUUGAAUCACAUGGGCCAAAGGGUAUAUCCAUACAUUUUUGUAAAUACUUUUUAUUUACAUAUCCAUCUUUUAAGAAAAAUGUGUCCCCCCAGCAACUUUUUUGCCAGUAUUGUUAUAAUCAUUAAUUGGUUCAUGUUCACUCUUUCUUAGGCAGUGGAGCUUCCUGUUAACUGGCUACCACCUGCUGGACAUGGGCCAGGCUCAAAGCUGAAGGCAACCCUGUGUGGGCUGGCUAUAAGGGAAACAGUCACCCUUGGGAGGUUGGCGGAGACUAUGCCCAUUAAAUCCCUCCAUACCAUGCAGUGCUAAAUGGCCCAAUCACAUCCUGCAUUUAGAAGAAUAUAGAUCAAAUGAUUAAAGAGAAAGCUGAUGACUCAGCUGAAGCCUGUUGUUUUUUCUGGAGUAAUAGUGAGCAAAUAUCCCUGAUUGUUUAUGAUGCUGGCUGUACAUUUUAAUGGAUCACCUAAGGUCCCUGAACAGCUAUGCUGCUGAUGAAUAAUGCCUCCUUUUGCUGGCCGUUCCCAUGGUACUUUGAAAUAAACUUUUAUGUUGGUUAACAAUAUGUGCACAUUACUUCCUUGUAACCCUGAAGGAAUGACUAGCAGAGCCAGUACGAUAGUGCUUGAAAGAAGGGAGUACCCCUUGAUUAUCCUGCCGUAGGGGUAAUGCCUAUAAGCAGCUGGGUCCCAAAUUCACCACUUCCGAGAGUUGUCACUAAAACCUUUUUCUUUUCAGUGGGCGGGGGGGAUCAGGUUCAACACGAUGUUGAUCUUUUUGGUUAUUAGUUAGAAAAACUGAGUACUUAAAUGGUCUUUACUUAUUUAAAACCAAGUUCACUAAUAGAGAAACUGGCCUUUGGAAAAUUGGCCUUUAGUGUUGAGUGCUAAGUAAUGUCCUUCAUUUACUGGGGGAAUUCAUCUAAUAUUGACUUCAAAUUAUUCAACAAUGAAAUCAUAGAUUUACUGUAGACACACUAGUCCUCAAGCUUACAGAAGUUGGAGCCCCUAUUGUCUACUUGAAUCUAUCAUUUUGUUUCUGUCUUUGUCAUAUGUACAAGUGAUAGCUAAUUUGACUGCUUUGGUAUUUUCCCAGGUAAUACUGACUCCAAUCCAGAAGACAGUCAUCAGUUAAGUAAAUAAAACAGGAACAGAACAUUGGUACUUACAGUAGAUGGCUCUGAGGUCCAAGUGAAAGACAAUAUUUGCAAGCAAUUCAUUGGAUUUGACCAUCAAAACUCUGUUCCAGGCACACUCAGGCAUCAUGGAAAAUGAUACCUAUUGUGGAAUCCCUCACUUGCCGAUGAAUAAUCUAGACGAUCAGAAAUGUGGCACUAUUGUGGCUUUCAGGUAGAAAAACACCCUGAAUCCAGCUUCCUGCUGUAAAUGAGUACUGAGCUUGGGAUGGUGAAAACUGAUUUUCAAGAUAGUAACUAUGGCCAUAUUAUGAAUCAACUGUGUUCUGUUUAGGUGCUGGAAGCAAAGCUUACUUCUGAAAAUAACCUACAAAAAUAAUAUGUAAACAUAUGGAGCUUCGAGAUAGACUAAAAACAUGCUACUAUGUUCUAUGGAUCAAAAUGCAAAGGUAUCUGUACAUAUAUUAAUUUUCAUUUUCAUUAAUUUGGGAUAUAUUGAUAGUACAUAACUAUGUGCUUACCUAUAUAGACCGUAAAACAAAUUUUGACAAUAUUUCUAAUGACAACAUACUUUCUAGCCCCAACUGCUGGGAAAAAAUAUGAAAAUGACUGCCUCUGUUUUUUUUUUUAAAUUUAUUUAUUUAACUUUAGGUGCAUACUAUAUCUGGCAUUUCUACCCAUGUUACCCCAUUGACUGUCUCUGUUUUUAAAUGGAAAAGCAAAACCAACAUUCCUCAUUGCAACAUGGACUGGCCUCUAAAAGGUUCAGAGUCAAAAACCUCUGAUUAUUCCCCAAUGUAAUAAAACACAUAAGCUUUCUCUCAGUGGUCAGGAAGUCCGCUCCUCUCUAGUGUUUUGUCUUUAAAAUUGCUUUCCAGGAUAGGGCUGCAGUAGUGGCUUAUGCCUGUAAUCCAGCACUUUGGGAGGCUGAGGCAGGCAGAUC